CCAUGCAGGAUCCAUGAUAGGACACUGUUCAGCGGGAGUACAGAACCUGGAACAAAUUUAGCAUGCAUACAUUGUCAUGUUGACCAUCUAAUACUAAAAAACAAAAAUGUUUCCAUUCCUAUCAAGAGACAAAGGACUACGUGUAAAUGAUAAUCAACCCUUAAAGGUGUUGUGCCUAGCACAGUGACCAACUGCUUAUUAAAGUUCACUUAUGGAUUUAUAAGCCCAUUAUAAAAAAAAAAUAAAAAAUUCCUGAAAUACAUUACAAUGUCGAAUGACUAACAACAUAGUCUUAAUAAAUUGAAUUUGUUUUGAACCUGAUAGUAUGGAAAGCAAAACUUUUACAUAAAAUGUACUUAGAAAUUUCCUAAAAAAAAAAUUUAAAAAAAUGCCAGCCUUCACUUUUACCAAGACUCAAACCUUCAACAACCAAACAAUUUACAACUGUCUUCAAAAACAUCUUACUCAUGAUGAGAACAACUUAUGAUUUGAAAAAAAAGGUUACUUUAAUAAAUUACCUUGAAUUAGCAUGAGCAGCGGGUCGGUCAGAUUCUUCUUUCUUCC